UUCUUAUUGGAUGAUAAUUGUCAUGUGUCAUGUUUUGAUUGAAUGUCAACUCCAUGAAAGAUGAAAUGCAUUGUUGUUUUCAUUGACCAAUCAGAACACGACACGUGACAAUUAUCAUCC
rfam:Glycine max cultivar Williams 82 chromosome 18, whole genome shotgun sequence.